rnacentral:rRNA from 1 species
UACGUAGGGGGCAAGCGUUGUCCGGAUUUAUUGGGCGUAAAGAGCGUGUAGGCGGUUAGGUAGGUCCGUUGUGAAAACUCGAGGCUCAACCUCGAGACGCCGAUGGAAACCGUAUGGCUAGAGUCCGGAAGAGGAGAGUGGAAUUCCUGGUGUAGCGGUGAAAUGCGCAGAUAUCAGGAAGAACACCCGUGGCGAAGGCGGGUCUCUGGGCCGAUACUGACGCUGAGGAGCGAAAGCGUGGGGAGCGAACAGG